ACUUUCAAAAAUAGACAAAAAAUAUAGUUCAUGAUUAAUUAUACUAGGCUCAAAUUCAAAUCUUUAUUACAUUCCAUAAUUAGUGUUACUUACAUAAGGUGUUAAAAUAAUAAACAAGCGAUCAUUAUGGACCCGGGAGGUCACAGCAAUUUCCUAUUAGGAGAAGGAAGGAGGAGGACUUAGCUCUCAGAUGACUAGGCUACUUUAGUAAAACUGAUAUGGAAGAACUUGCGGACACCAUGGCAAGAAAAGGAUUAUUUCAAGCUGUCCCAUCCAGUGAAUAAAUACUUACUAUGAA